AGAGAGGUCAGCGUCACAAUGAGAAGGGAGGAGACCGAUCUUCCGGGAACAGAGGCCGCCUCAGGACUGGGCGAGGGGUGCGGUGGGGGGAGGGACAGUGACAUGCAGCACAGAUGUGCGGUGGAGGGAAGGUGCCGCCUCGCCAGCCGCCGCCAGGGUGAGUGAGAGUGGGGGCAGAUCGCCGUGGAGGGAUCUCCGCGUGGCGCCGGGACACCUGGUUCCUGAUGGAAGGAUCCUAAGUCCAUUCAAGGGUCGGAGGACCAUGGCCAUCCACAAAGGGGAAGGUGCUAACGGUCCUGGGGCUUCGAUCUCUCCCGGAGCCGCGGCGUGCAGACCGGUGACCGCCUGUGAAAGGCGUGUCCCCUGGCAGAGACCUCCGGUUAGGCUGGAUGGAGGAGGAAGGAGGGGGCCUAGCUCGGACUCCAGCACUCGGGGGGAGGGGGCAAGACCUGGGACCAGCGAGUGGCAUCUCGGGCCCACAGUUGUCGCCGAUGCCAGCUUCGUUGCCUCCUCUCCCUUUCCCCUAAAUCUCCAGAUUGGGUCCCCAAGCCAAAGACCUAAAGGCUUUGAAGGCAGAGCUCAAGAGAAUCCCGGGAAGAAAUUGUCCCCAGUGUAGUGGCCUGCCUGUGACUCCUGGCCCCGCCCUAGUCUGAUAUUAUCUCGUCCUUUCCGGGUACCAGGAAUCAAACUCGGGACUUUAUUCUUGCCAGGCAGGUGCAGCACCACUGAGCUAAAUCCCCAGCCCACCACUGGAUUUUCUACAGACAAUCCUGUUGUCUGCCAAUAAAGUUUUACUUCUUGUUUUCCAA
rnacentral:lncRNA from 1 species